GUGGAUGAUGAUCCUUUUUAACUCGUAGCUACGGCUUUGAAGAUCAAAAACAGCAACAACUUACACUCUAAUUUUUUGCUGACA
rnacentral:snoRNA from 1 species